rnacentral:rRNA from 1 species
CGAGAAAGCCCGCAAGGGUGAGUACAGCGGCGCACGGGUGCGUAACACGUGGGUAAUCUGCCCUGGAGCCCGGAAUAACUCCCCGAAAGGGGUGCUAAUGCCGGAUGAGCCUACGGGGUCCUUGGACCCUGAGGGAAAAGGUGGCCUCUGUAUACAAGCUAUCACUUCAGGAUGAGCCCGCGGCCCAUCAGCUCGUUGGCGGGGUAAUGGCCCACCAAGGCUACGACGGGUAGCUGGUCUGAGAGGACGAUCAGCCACACUGGAACUGGGACACGGUCCAGACUCCUACGGGAGGCAGCAGUGGGGAAUCUUGCGCAAUGGGCGAAAGCCUGACGCAGCAACGCCGCGUGUGUGAUGAAGGUCUUCGGAUCGUAAAGCACUGUCGCGAGGGACG